rnacentral:tRNA from 1 species
GGCCGUGUGGCUCAAUGGCAGAGCGUCUGACUACGAUUACCGUGUCGACCUAACUACACGGGUAAUGUGUCAUCAGAAGGUCGCAGGUUCGACCCCUGUCUCGGUCA